GUUGAGAACCACUGCUCUAAAGGCACCGGAUCCUGUUUGAUCUUUGAAGCUAAAUGGGUCAGCUCUGGUUAGAACUUGGAUGGAAGACCACCAGUGGCUACCAAAUGCUGUAAGCU
rnacentral:rRNA from 1 species